rnacentral:misc_RNA from 1 species
CUUUUUGUGCAUAAUGUAUAUAUAGGGGGGUGGUAGUACUCUUGGGGUAGACAGGCAUGUGCUGGGAUGGCAUGCCAAGGCGUGUGCUGGGAUGGCAUGCCUUGGUGUGAGCUGGGAUGGCAUGCCAAGGACAAGCAUGUGCUGGGAAGGCAUGGCAAGGCCAAUACAAGGCCAAGGCAAGCACAUGCAUUGCUAGCGAGACGAGACGGUUAUGUUUACCCCAAGAGUGCCCAAGGGAGAGGAAAGAAGUGUCAAACGCAUGCUGAGGCCCCACUUCGGUAGUUUGGCACCCCCAUAGGCAUUCAGGCAAGCGUGCCUAUGGGAAAAGUCGGUUGAGCUUGUCUGCCAUGUUGGGUAUUAUUCUACGGACGAGAUGAUGGCACAAGGAUGCUUGCUUUAAGGUAACGUUCCGGCAGCACAGCCAGCCCGCAAUUGCUAGUUCAAGCGGGUGGAAUCUGCCUAUAGGGGUGUUGCUUGCUUGCUGUGGAUUUGGGACACGCCCAAUAUCUAUCAUCGACCCAACGAAGUGCUCAACAUGGGUUGCUGAGGGCUAUUUUGGCACUGAUGGUUCACUUGUUUGCUUGGCUUUGAUAAACGUUUAGAUGUCAUGAUGCUUGGGAUCCAAUAAAUUUAUGUGGGAAGCUAAGAGCUGGAACCCAAUGUCAUUCACCAGACGGCUUAGCUUCGUCAGUGUGUAUGAUAUGUCAUUGAACCCCAAUCCUCGAUGCCAAGCUGAUUAUGACUUUUGGAUCGCAAUAUUCAUGGCUAUCGAAAGCUGAGUAGGAGUCAUGGAAUAAGUGAACAAUUCGUAGCCUUUAUAGCUGUCAGCUUUCGCAUCGCCCGGUGUGUUUUGGGAAUCGCUUUGUGCAUUUGGCUGCCUGCCGUGCCUCUUGGCAUACGGUGGGUGCCACUUGCCGGGUGGUUUUCGGAAACAUCCAUCGUAAAGGUGCAUGAGUGGUGUUUGGUUUGUUACGGGUGGUUGGCUCUUUGCUUGCGCAACAACUGCCACCCGACUUACCUCUUCAGAUGUUUGCCUAGGCUUGUAUAGCCUAAGCAGAUUGUGGGUUUCCUGUGUUGCCUACCUACGUCACGGAAUUGUCCCGAUCGAUCAAAGUUGCUUUCGUCUUGUGUCGUCUUGAUGGCAUAAGAUGAAUCAUGAAGCUGUCUCUUUGCACCGCAUCGUUAAUGCAUGCAUUGAUGUUGUAGCCCAUUGAGCAUUGCUUGGUACCUUGGAUACGGAACCUUAUGUGGGCAUGGGUCCUUAGGGAUCCUUGUUCUGCCCUCGUUUAGCGUUCGCGCUUCUCUUAGAAUGACUGCCCAGCCGGAAUGGGAAGCCAUUCUGGGUGGGCAUCGUCAAAGAGGAAUGC